UACCUCAACUUUGGGUCAAACCACAAUCUCAUAUCUCAUAUUUUAAACAUUGCAAUGUCAUACCUCAACUUAUGAAUUCGUUGCAAUGUCAGACAUCCAUUAAAUUUUCUGUCAAUUUAACUGUUAAAUGAUGAUUUCACAGGAGGAGGGCCUGCUCCUUUGCUAACUGGAAUAAAAAGUUAAUUAAUUAAUAAUAAAUUAAGAAUUUUUUAUUUAACAAUUAAAAUUAAUUAAAAAAGUAUUUUAAUUAGUUAUUUUGAAAAAAAAAAUGAAUUAAAAAAGAAAAAAUGUUCUUUAUCGCAUUGAGCAACCCAACCAUCCCAAAAAUGUUCUUCAUUCCACAAACUUCGCUCAUUUACCUCCACCUCUCUCUACACCACACUCACUUUCUCCCUGUAAUCUCUGUCAAUUCUAUCUGAAUCUUUACCUGUUUUUCAUUUCCUUGAAUUUGUUUUCAAUUUUUUUUUUUUCGGAUUUUCUUAGGCGCCAAACAGAUCGCUGAGCUCCUGUUGUUUACAUUUUGACUCUUUCAAUUUCCUUUGGUUGGUUUUGUUGGAUCUUGGAUUCAGAUUCGAUGAUUGCGGAGUUUAAUUUAAAAAUAUUUCUAUUCAUUGUUGUGAAUUCAGAAGUCAUUCUCCCAGGUUGUGUUCACUUUUUGCCUCGUAGAGGAACCUCAUGCGUCCGUGGGUAUGGAAGGAGGAAGUGUUAACUCCAGGCUGCCUAAUCUCUUCUCUCUUUGUGUGGCUUCAAUUCCCAGAAAAUCCAUUCCUUAAGAAUCAGAGGGAAAUGAAAUCGAAACCCCAGAAAAUGCAAAAAAAACCGGUGGGACUUCGAGAGGUGUAGGAAUAAGGGAUGUCCUCCAACAAAAAGGAAGGCCAAUUGCCUUUACUAGCAAUGCAUUGGGGCCUAGAAACCAAGCUUUGUCUACAUAUGAAAGGGAGCCGAUAGUUAUCAUCCAUGUUACUCAAAGUGGCAGAAUUAUCUCCAAGGGCAUCAUUUUAUCAUAAAAACGGAUCACAAAGUUUGAAAUACUUUCUCAAACAAAGAGCAACCAUUCAUUUCCAGCAAAAGUGGGUCUCCAAGCUCUUGGGAUUUGACUACGAAAUCCAGUAUAAGCAUAUGACAGAUAAUACUGUUGCAGAUGCUUUGUUUAGAGCUCCCGGUUCCAACCUCUUACCUGAAGACACUAUGCAAUGACCAGAAUGCACAACAAUAACCUAUCCCUAUUUUGGGUGGUUAGAUGAUCUCAGGAGACAUUUGGAGCAGGAUCCGUGGAUAUUACAGAAAAGCAAGGAAGUCAUGGAACGCUUAACUUCAGAUGCUAUUGACAAAUCUCUUUCCAAAUACCACCUAGACAAUGGUUUUUUAAAGUAUAAUUCCAGGAUGGUAAUCCAUCUGGAUUCGAGUUGGCGGAAUAGGUUAUUUGAGGAGCACCAUUGCACUUCUAUUGCAGGCCAUGAAGGGGUGCUUAAAACCUAUCAAAGGUUGAAAAAGAGUUUCUACUGGGUUGGUACGAAGAAAGACAUAAAGCAUUGGGUUGCCGAGUGUAGAAUUUGCCAACAAAAUAAAUAUGAGACCAUCUCGCCCCCAGGACUUCUACAUCCCCUACCUAUUCUUGAAAAGGUGUGGAGUGACAUAAGUAUGCACUUUAUCAUUGGCCUACCUGCUUGUAAAGGUAAAUGAGUGAUCAUGGUUGUGGUUGAUCGACUGUCCAAAUAUUCCUAUUUCAUUGCACUGGGGCACCCUUACACAGCUAGCAUAGUGGCUCAAGCAUUUGUGGACAAUGUGUUUAAAUUGCAUGGGAUUCCUACCACCAUUGUAAGUGAUAGAGAAUGUCUUUCUGAGUAUGUUUUGGAAAGAGUUCUUCAAACUACAAGGGUCUCAACUUUGCAUGAGUUUCAGGUAUCAUCCACAAAGCGACAGGUAAAGUAAAGUGGUUAACCGUUGCCUGGAAACUUACUUGAGGUGCUUCAUAAGCUGCCAGCCCAAGAAAUGGCUCCAAUGGCUCCCAAGGGGCGAAUGGAACUAUAACACCUUUUUUCACUCUUCUUCACAGUUCACUCCUUUUGAGAUAGUUAAUGGAUACCCUCUUCCCCAUAUUGCGGCAUAUGAAAGGGGUACUGCCAAACUUGAAAUAGUUGAACAAGGCUUGAUAGCUCGGGAUCAAAUGUUGUCCAUGUUGAAAACAAAUCUAUUGGUUGCACAUAACCGAAUGAGGGUUUAGGCGAACAAAUGUAAAUGUGAAAGGGAAUUUGAAGUUGGGGAUUUUGUGUACUUGAAGUUAAUUCCCUAUCAGUUAUAGUCCUUGGCUAUGCAUGCUUAUCACAAACUGCAUCCUAAGUAUUAUGGACCUUUUGAAGUGUUGGAGAAAGUGAGGGCUAUGGCUUACAAAAUUAAAUUUCCUCUAGGAUCCAAGAUACAUCAUGUAUUCCAUAUGAGCUUCUUCAAGAAACACUUGGGUGCUCGAGUCGAACCUCUUCCCCUAUUACCUCUAGUGAUAGAUGAUGGCCUACUCACUCAAGAACCAAAAGCAGUGCUCAAACGAAGAAUAUACCAGAAGGGCAGUGCAGCUAGAGUUUAACUACUUAUCAAAUGGAAGUUCUGUUCAGAGGAAGAAGCCACAUGGGAGGACUAUGACUCUGUCAUUGCUUGAUUCCCAGAGUUCAAACUAUGAAAUGUAACCUUGAGGACAACGUUGUUUUGGAAUGAGAAGGUAAUGAUAGGAUCGUGAUUAGCUUGAUCACAAUUAAGGGGUAUUAAGUAAUUCUAAUAUGUAUGAGUUGCUUUUAAUUA